rnacentral:rRNA from 1 species
UACGUAGGGGGCAAGCGUUGUCCGGAUUUACUGGGCGUAAAGGGCGCGUAGGCGGCCAGCACAAGUCAGUUGUGAAAAUCUCCGGGCUUAACUCGGAAAGGUCAACUGAUACUGUGCGGCUAGAGUGCAGAAGGGGCAACUGGAAUUCUCGGUGGUAGCGGUGAAAUUCGAUAGAGUAUCAAGCGGAACACCGGUGGCGAAGGCGGCCUUCUGGACAGUGACUGACGUGAGAUGCGAAGCGUGGGGAGCAAACAGG